GGCUCCGUCUACGUGCACGUCCCUUGCGUCACGACGCAGGCUGACGGACGCUGGGCGCCUGCAUCACGUGAGUCAUCUGACCAAUCGAGACGAGCGACGGGCAACCGGCGUUGCUCAGGCUAAAUGCCUCCUUGGUUGACCUGGAGGCAGCGAGUCGAGGUUUUCAGUUAAAUAUUUUCUAAUCCAUCUGUUCAGAUAUUCCAUGCAAGACCUCUUGAGCAGCAGGUGCCAGCAACAUGUCCAUGAUCUUGUCAGGAAAGAAGGUGUCAAGGCCUCACACCUCCUCCAGUAUUUCUGAGGAAGUAGCCACAGAUGCCUUAAACAAGAUGAAGAAGAAAUGCCCCAGGUUGUUUGCAUUUGAAAGACUGCUAGUGACCAGGCCAAUUGGAGAGGAGAAAGGUGUGACAAGUUAGCUAAAUUUUUCUCUCCAGACUUCAACAGCAACUAAGAUGCUGAAGAAACAAUAUCCCUGUAAAGACUCGGUCAAUCUCUCUUUAUAACGUUUACAACAUCAGUCUAAACGCAUUAAUUAAGAAUAUGUGGACGUGGCGGCGUUGGACUGGGGUGGACAAAGUCACACGACACCAGGUUAUAGUCCAACAAGUUUAUUUGAAAUCACAAGCUUUCGGAGCGUAACCCCUUUGUCAGGUUUAACAGAGCGCGAUAUGAAAAGAGAUAUUACAUGUUUAAUCUGGCUUGGAUCUGGUGUUCUCCAAAUAAAAGCUUUAUAAAAUAGAGAGGCUGGCAUAGUGAGUUGACAUAUUAAGGAUUUUUGAUUUGAAUUCAAUCCAAGCAGACAGAACGAUUAUUUGCUGCUUUCCACUCUGCAAGGUUCUUCUGUGAGUUUUUUUUUUGCCGCCUCAAUUCAUUUCCUACUCACAUACCAAAAAGUUACACCUUAAUAAAUUGACAACCUCAUUCAAGAGAGAGAAGAAAUCUUGUAUUUAUUAUAACACUUUCACCACCACAAGACAGAGCGGAGCGCUCCACAGCCAAUGAAGUAUUUCAGAAGUGUCGUCAUUGUAAUGUGGGAGGUCAAAUGGGAUAAAUGAUUUGGAGAUGCCGGUGUUGGACUGGCGUGUACAAAGUUAAAAAUCACACAACACCACGUUAUAGUCCAACAGAUUUAUUUGGGAGCACUAGCUUUCUAAGCGCUGCUCCUUCAUCAGGUGGGAUAAAGGAUGUCAAACCUACAAAGUUCACACUGACGCCAUUUCAAUUCCUGGCGUGAAGCAGGAUUUGAACUCUACCCCAGACCUGAUUUGGGAGAGGCUGAGGGCCCAGUUUAACGAAGUAUUCAAUUUUCUACCAUUGCUAGUGCACCAACAAUCCUCUCGCCUUGAAAAGCUUAAGUUGUCUUCUUUAUAAAAUGGAAUUCCUCUAUAGAAGCGGCUAACAUUCACUUUGUAAAGAGAAAGUUGAAAGUAUUCAAACACUACCUUCAGAAUAAAAUAUGUUCCACGCCAUUGUCAUAGAUAUUUUAGUUUACGUGUACUCAGAAGUUAAAAAUCGACAAUUCCAGGUUAUAAUCCAACAGGUUUACUUGGAAGCAC